CCUACGGGUGGCAGCAGUGAGGAAUAUUGGUCAAUGGGCGCAAGACUGAACCAGCCAAGUAGCGUGCAGGAUGACUGCCCUACGGGUUGUAAACUUCUUUUAUACAGGGAUAAAAUGAGUCACGUGUGCCUUUUUGUAUGUACUUUAUGAAUAAGGAUCGGCUAACUCCGUGCCAGCAGCCGCGGUAAUACGGAGGAUCCGAGCGUUAUCCGGAUUUAUUGGGUUUAAAGGGAGCGUAGAUGGGUUGUUAAGUUAGUUGUGAAAGCUUGCGGCUCAACCUUAAAAUUGCACUUGAUACUGGUAGUUUUGAGUACAGGUGAGGUAGGCGGAAUUCGGGGUGUAGCGGUGAAAUGCUUAGAU
rnacentral:rRNA from 1 species